rnacentral:piRNA from 1 species
AUCAAAGGAUGACGAGCAGAAGACCCAGGC